rnacentral:rRNA from 1 species
GACGAACGCUGGCGGCGUGCUUAACACAUGCAAGUCGAACGAUGAACCGGGUGCUUGCACUUGGGGAUUAGUGGCGAACGGGUGAGUAACACGUGAGUAACCUGCCCUGGACUCUGGGAUAACCCCGAGAAAUCGGAGCUAAUACCGGAUAGGACCUUUCCUCGCAUGAGGUUUGGUGGAAAGUUUUUCGGUCUGGGAUGGACUCGCGGCCUAUCAGCUUGUUGGUGAGGUAAUGGCUCACCAAGGCGUCGACGGGUAGCCGGCCUGGGAGGGUGACCGGCCACACUGGGACUGAGACACGGCCCAGACUCCUACGGGAGGCAGCAGUGGGGAAUAUUGCACAAUGGGCGCAAGCCUGAUGCAGCAACGCCGCGUGCGGGAUGACGGCCUUCGGGUUGUAAACCGCUUUUAGUAGGGAAGAAGGGCUUCGGCUUGACGGUACCUGCAGAAAAAGGACCGGCUAACUACGUGCCAGCCGCCGCAGUAAGAC